UACGUAGGAUGCAAGCGUUGUCCGGAUUUACUGGGCGUAAAGCGUGUGCAGGUGGUUGUUCAGGUAGAUUGUGAAAGCCCCCGGCUUAACUGGGGAGGGUCAGUCUAAACCGGACGACUAGAAGCAGACAGAGGCGUGUGGAAUUCCCGGUGUAGUGGUGAAAUGCGUAGAGAUCGGGAGGAACACCAGAGGCGAAGGCGACGCGCUGGGUCUGGCUUGACACUCAGACACGAAGGCGUGGGGAGCGAACAGG
rnacentral:rRNA from 1 species